UAUGUUCCUAAAUGAAGGUGGAAGGAAUGCCCUGGAACAGCCAUGUGGAGGGAGGGAUUAUGCCUCUAAAUGAAGGUGGAAGGAAUGCCCUGGAACAGCCAUGUGGAGGGAGGGAUUAUGCCUCUAAAUGAAGGUGGAAGGAAUGCCCUGGAACAGCCAUGUGGAGGGAGGGAUUAUGCCUCUAAAUGAAGGUGGAAGGAAUGCCCUGGAACAGCCAUGUGGAUGGAGGGAUUAUGUUCCUAAAUGAAGGUGGAAGGAAUGCCCUGGAACAGCCAUGUGGAUGGAGGGAUUAUGUUCCUAAAUGAAGGUGGAAGGAAUGCCCUGGAACAGCCAUGUGGAUGGAGGGAUUAUGUUCCUAAAUGAAGGUGGAAGGAAUGCCCUGGAACAGCCAUGUGGAGGGAGGGAU